CAGCCGCCGCGGGAAUACGAAGGGUGCAAGCGUUAAUCGGAAUUACUGGGCGUAAAGCGUGCGUAGGCGGUGAGUUAAGUCUGCUGUGAAAUCCCCGGGCUCAACCUGGGAAUGGCAGUGGAUACUGGCUCGCUAGAGUGUGUCAGAGGAUGGUGGAAUUCCCGGUGUAGCGGUGAAUGCGUAGAGAUCGGGAGGAACAUCAGUGGCGAAGGCGGCCAUCUGGGACAACACUGACGCUGAGGCACGAAAGCGUGGGGAGCAAACAGGAUUAGAUACCCCCGUAGUCCCUGUCUCUUAUACA
rnacentral:rRNA from 1 species